UCGAGGAUCUUCGGCAAUGGGCGCAAGCCUGACCGAGCGACGCCGCGUGUGCGAUGAAGGCCUUCGGGUUGUAAAGCACUGUCGAGGGGGAGGAAGCCGCAAGGUUGACCUAUCCCUGGAGGAAGCACGGGCUAAGUUCGUGCCAGCAGCCGCGGUAAGACGAACCGUGCGAACGUUGUUCGGAAUCACUGGGCUUAAAGGGCGCGUAGGCGGGUGACCAAGUCAGGGGUGAAAUCUUUCGGCUCAACCGGAAAACAGCCUUUGAUACUGGUCGUCUGGAGGGAGGUAGGGGCAUGUGGAACUUCCGGUGGAGCGGUGAAAUGUGUUGAUAUCGGAAGGAACGCCGGUGGCGAAAGCGACGUGCUGGACCUCUUCUGACGCUGAGGCGCGAAAGCUAGGGGAGCGAACGGGAUUAGAUACCCCCGUAGUCC
rnacentral:rRNA from 1 species